GAGGUCUGAGGAAAAUAUCCAAGCAGUCCAGUUCUCACUGCAGACUGACCUCAACAUAGAA
rnacentral:snoRNA from 1 species